UUAUUACUCCCUCCGUCCGGAAAUACUUGUCAUUGAAAUGGAUGUAUGUAGAUAUAUUUUAGUUCUAGAUACAUCCAUUUUCAUCCAUUUUGAUGACAAGUAAUUCCGGACGGAGGGAGUACUUU
rnacentral:pre_miRNA from 1 species